UAUAUUUUAAUGGAAAAAAUGACGGAUUUCGGCUUUGUAGUUGCAAGUUCGAGUCUUGCUA
rnacentral:tRNA from 1 species